GGUUAUUCUGCAAGAGAUAUAUAAGGGGAUACUUGUAUGUUUUAACUCUAUAAGAAAGUUUUAGCAAAUUUAUUUGUCCGAGCCCUAUUUGCUCAACAGUAUCAAAAUAUAUUUGUCCGAGCCCUAUUUGUUCAACAGUAUCAAUGGCUUCCUACAGCAACUGGCGUUGGUCUUGCCUUCUGAUUGCUAUAUUUAUCCCUUCAAAUCGGGCGGCUGAACAGACGGAUACAGCUUCAGCGUCAACUGCUCCACGCAGCGGAGUAUGGACGUGGCCAAUAGUGUUUAUGCACUCCAAGGUCAUCUACCUAAACUUAUCUACGAUGAAUUAUCCUGAUAUAAAUUGCAUUAAAGAAUAUCGAGUAACGUGGAACCACAGUGCUCGGUUAAUGACUAAGAUGAUGUGGAUCGGCUUCUCAACUGGU